UCCCAGUUCGGAUUGUAGUCUGCAACCCGACUACAUGAAGCUGGAAUCGCUAGUAAUCGCGGAUCAGAAUGCCGCGGUGAAUACGUUCCCGGGUCUUGUACACACCGCCCGUCACACCAUGGGAGUCGGAAAUGCCCGAAGUCAGUGACCCAACCGUAAGGAGGGAGCUGCCGAAGGUGGAGCCGGUAACUGGGGUGAAGUCGUAACAAGGUAGC
rnacentral:rRNA from 1 species